CAGCAGCCGCGGGAAUACGGAGGGGGCUAGCGUUGUUCGGAAUUACUGGGCGUAAAGCGCACGUAGGCGGUUUUGUAAGUCAGGGGUGAAAGCCCGGAGCUCAACUCCGGAACUGCCUUUGAGACUGCAUCACUUGAACGUCGGAGAGGUGAGUGGAAUUCCGAGUGUAGAGGUGAAAUUCGUAGAUAUUCGGAAGAACACCAGUGGCGAAGGCGGCUCACUGGACGACUGUUGACGCUGAGGUGCGAAAGCGUGGGGAGCAAACAGGAUUAGAUACCCCGGUAGUCCCUGUCUCUUAUAC
rnacentral:rRNA from 1 species